GUGCCAGCAGCCGCGGUAAUUCCAGCUCCAAUAGCGUAUAUUAAAGUUGCUGCAGUUAAAAAGCUCGUAGUUGGAUCUCGGGUGCAGGCUUGCGGUCCGCCUCGCGGCGGUCACUGCUCGCCCUGACCUCCAGGCCGGUGUCACCGUCCCUUGGUGCUCUUGAUUGAGUGUCUCGGGCGGCCGGUACGUUUACUUUGAAGAAAUUAGAGUGCUCAAAGCAGGCCCUUGUCGCCUGAAUAAUGGUGCAUGGAAUAAUGGAAUAGGACCUCGGUUCUAUUUUGUUGGCUCUCGGAGCUCGAGGUAAUGAUUAAUAGGGACUGACGGGGGCAUUCGUAUUGCGGCGCUAGAGGUGAAAUUCUUGGACCGUCGCAAGACGAACUACAGCGAAAGCAUUUGCCAAGCAUGUUUUCAUUAAUCAAGAACGAAAGUCARAGGUUCGAAGAC
rnacentral:rRNA from 1 species